CAUACUCGCCAAUAUCUAGGUGCCCGAUUAAAGGGAGAAUAGGGAAGCCGGUGAAAUUCCGGCGUGGGCCCGCCGCUGUGACGGAGGACGAAACCUGUAAAAUAUCCACCAUCCAGGAAAAAUUAGCUGGAUGGGAAGGUGCAGGCGCUAGGAUGAUCCCGAAGCCAGAAGACCUGCCUAGAUAUGCCGAUAAAU
rnacentral:ncRNA from 2 species